rnacentral:rRNA from 1 species
AUUCCGGUUGAUCCUGCCGGAGGCCAUUGCUAUCGGAGUCCGAUUUAGCCAUGCUAGUCGCACGAACUCAGAUUCGUGGCAUAUAGCUCAGUAACACGUGGCCAAACUACCCUACAGACCACAAUAACCUCGGGAAACUGAGGCCAAUGGUGGAUACCACUCUCAUGCUGGAGUGCAGAGAGUGAGAAACGUUCGGGCGCUGUAGGAUGUGACUGCGGCCGAUUAGGUAGACGGUGGGGUAACGGCCCACCGUGCCCGUAAUCGGUACAGGUUGUGAGAGCAAGAGCCUGGAGACGGUAUCUGAGACAAGA